ensembl:lncRNA
AAACACCAGCCCCUAUGACAUUUCUCUCGGGGAUCUCUGGGCUCCUCAGGUAUCCAUCACUGGACCACGACAACUUUAUGUGCGUCUCCAGAUUUCCUUGGCCCCAGCUUUCCCCAGGACCUCAACGAUUUCCUCAGAUGGAAAGCGCAGGCAGUCACCAUUCCCUCAUUGCUUGACACCCCUGGCUGUCUCAGCUUCCCCUGGGUCAGGGCCUGGAGUCAGCUUCUUCUCCAUCGUGCCCACUCCAGCGGGAGCCUCAGCAGCCCUGCACCCAGGUCCCACCCAACCCAAUCCAACCCAACCCAACCCACGGGGCUCCGGCCCCUCGCACUGCUUCAGGCCCCCCUGGAGCACCAUGCUUAGAGUAUGGGAUCUGGCUUCGUCUGCAGCUUCUGGAGGGGAUCGGUGACCCAGCCUGGAAGUGCAGAUGUGGGACAGGAGACAGGAGUGAGCUGGCAGGUACUUUAGUGCUUGAGCUGGCUGGCUCCAGUCAGGACUGCAGUUUAAAUGAUGACCUGGCGGUAGGAGAGCUGUGACCUUGGGGAAGUCACCACCUCUCGGGGUUGUGGAGUGGCACAGAUGAGAAUUUGCUCGCCACAUAGGCUGUGGGCUCGCUGCCUGCCCACCCGACUGCUGGAAAACACUGGAGCUCUUGGGGAAAAGGAGGGCGUCAGCCCGAAACAAACAUAUUUACAGGACCGCCAUUGUCCUGGCUCAGCAAACAUGGAAGAGUCUGGCAGAUGGGCUGGCACACUUGACCUGAAGGAAGAAAAGGAACAAAUGGAAAAUUGCUGACUGUGGCAAAGAAGAAGCAGGCUGACCCAUCUGUUAAGAAAAUAUCUUGGCCAAACAACUCACGAUGUUUCUUUUAAAGACUAAGUAGAACCCAAAAAAUGUGUAGCUCUGUGGACCAAAAGGUAUGUGCUGGAACCCUAAAUUGGAAACUGCCAAAAAGUGUAUCAAUUAUAGAAUGGAUAAAUUGUAUUUUCAUACAGUAUUGAGAAUGAGCAAACUAUAACCACAGACGGCAAUAUGGUUGAUUCUCAUAAACAGAACGUUGAGUGAAAGAAGCCAGACAGAAAAGAACGCAGACCACACGGAUGCCUUUACGCAGAGACAAAGACAGGUGCAAUGAUGGUGUCGGAGUCAGCAUGCUGGUUACCCUUGGGGGUAGCGGCUGGAAGAGGGCACAAAUUGGUUUCUGGGAUGCUAGUCAUGUUCUGUUUCUUGAUGUGCUGCUUACAUGCACAUACAUUCACUUUAUGAAAAUUCACUGAGCUGUGCAUUUUUCUAGAAGUACAUUAGAUUUCAGUAGAAAACAAAAACAAAUGACAACAACACAAGCAGAUCCUGAGGUCUUGACACAGUCAGUUCCAGGGAGAGCAGUAGGACAUAGGGCCCCCCACGCUGGUGCCGAACAGGAGUAGAAAGUGACCAGGGAGUGAGGAGUGACCACCGACCUGACAGCUGGCUCUUUAGGGUAGUCAGCCAACUUGCUCCUAAAUUAAGACUUGCUUGGCCUAAAGAAACUAAGCAGCACCCUGGCACCAGUCAUUCUGUGAGUGGUUGAGUGUGGCAGCAGAGCCAGACUGCCCAGGUUGGAAUUCCAGCUACACAGUAGUGUGACCCUGGGUCGGUGCCUCAAACACUCGGUGCCUCAGUUUCCACAUCUGUAAAAUAGGAUUGAAUAUAUUAAAUUUGGAACCGUGCAUGGCACAAAGUAGCAAGUAAGGGUUUGGUUCUGUUGUUGCUGUGUACCAGGCACUUUAGUCCUCACACCCAUUGGAAGAGGUAGUCAGGGGAGAAGUGAUUUCAAUGAGGCCACAUGCCUAGGAAAUGCAGAAUGCAGAUUUGAACCCAAGAUCCUCAUGAUUCUAAAGCCCGCAAUCUAAGGCUUCCCAAUCUAAGACAUUCCCUUAGGAGAGGGAAAACUCUCUCCCAGAAACCAGGAAAUAGAGACGAUGACCCAAGGAAAAUCAUCCCAAUGCAAGGAAAAACUAAGACUUUGGAAUAAGCAAAGGAGAUCGCUGUGUAGCCUUUCAAUAGGAUGCUGCACCCUUCUCAAAUUAUCUGAUUCUGUGUGGGCUCUGUGCCUUUCAUUGCCUCCGAGUUAUUUUACAACUCUGAAAAUUGUAAAUAAGGCGUAGCAAUGCAAAGAUUUCUUAUCUAAAGACAUGCAAAUAAAUUCUGCAACCCGCCCCCCCCAAAAUAACAAAGCAAGUUUCAAGUCCAUAUAUAAAGUUACUCCAACAUCCCUUUACCCAAAUAAAAUUGUGGUUCUUUUGAUUUCUCCUUUGAACCAGUUACAACAUCUUACCAGUUCCCUCAUUCAAUUAUCGAGUUAAAUAAAACCUUUGACAUGUGUUCAUUUUAUGUUUGCGUGAGAAUCAUGACUUUGCUUUUUUCUUUUUUAUCCGCUGACACAGAGGUAGAGGCAGGUUCAACUUUGUGACCGGGGGUUUCCUGAGAAAGGUCCGCUCUUUGCGCAACUGAUAUCUGCCGGCAGGAGGCCAGGUGGCCCUCACAGGGCAGGCAUGAGGCCAGGGCCCCAGGUUUGGCCUCGUGCUCUGCUUCCUGGCCAGGGUUGGCGAGGACGGCGGAAGGCUGGCUGGAUCUGGGAAGGAACUCUGGCCAGCCUGAAGGCCAUUAAGGGUGAGCAGAGAGGGAUUCUGGCAAAGCCAGGCACCAUCUCAGGCUGCUUAGUGGCUCAGGGACCUGAAAAAAAGAAAAAAAAUCAGUCUAACCAGGAUGCGUAAAUACUGGAUCCUAAAGAAUUGGGGUUUAUGUACUUUCUCUGCCUGUUUCCUGGCUCUGUGACCCAGACAAGUUAUUUAAAUUCCCUAAGAUCCAUUUCUUCCUCUUUCAAAUGUGGAUAAUACCCCCAGUACUACCUCUCUGGUGCAGGGAGAGGUGGGAAAAUUAAGUAAGGUGAUAGACAUGGAGCUCUUAGCACAAGUCUGCCCUUAGCAUGUGACUAACGGCAGCUAUUUUCGAUGUUACUGUCACGGGGAGACUCUGCGGCUCCCGGUGGAGGACACAGUGAGGCAAUGCUUGAAGCUCUUGGGUUUUUUUAAUCAAUGGAGCACUAUUUAUUACUAUUAUUUUCCCCUCGUGUGAAAGAGGCAUUGUAAGCCACACCAGGUGAAAUAUACUCCAAUCUAAAAACAAGUCAAGUUCUUGUUACUUUAUCAAAGCGAGAAGUAAACACUUUACCAUUCUUAACCACAUGAACAAACACAAAUAAAAGGAUUUCUUUUAAGAGAACAAGUCGUGAAGGAUGGGAAUAAUAAUGGCUGGCUUUUAUGGAGCACUUGCUCUCUGCGAGGUGUCGUUCCUAGGGUCAGCAUGCCCGGUCAUUUUCACUCCUCACGACGAGCUCCUGAGAGGGGAGUGGUAGCUCGCCUCCUGGUAGGAAGUGAAGUGGAGCUGGGAUUCAAAGCUGGGCUAAGUCAAUCAACCCCACUGUAUCUGGAGCACCCUGGGAGGACCUAAUCCCACAUCUGAGGAUGUGAGGAUGGUGGAGCUGAGGUGCUGGCAGGACCUCCAGGUGGCGCUGUCCAGCCAGAAGUUGAAAAAUGUAGCCAGAAGUAGAAUGGAUGCUAAGGAGAGGUCAGAUAUUUUAUUCAUUCAACAAAUAUUUAUUGAGGGCCUGUUAUGUGUCAGGCAUGUGUUCUAGGCUGAAUAAAACAGGCAAGAAAUCCUUGCUUUCAUGGAGCUGAACUUCCAGUGGGGGCAGUUAGAUACUAAACAUAGGUAACAUAUGUCAUAUGUUAGAUAAGGAGAAGUUCUGUUGAAAAAAUCAAAGAAGAGGAAAAGGAUUUGGAGAGCCAGAGGUGGGGUGGCAGGUGCAAAUUUACUUAAUGUGGUCAGGGAAGGCCUCACUCAGGGGGCACUUGUGUAAACCCUGAGGUUAGGUAAUAAUUUAUGCAGCUAUCUGGGGGAAGAACAUUCUGGAUGGAGGGAAAAGCAGUGCAAAGGCCCUGUGGUGAGAGGGUACUUGGCAUGUCUGAGGAACAACAGGAGACCAUAGUGGCUGGACCAGAUAGGCAGGGACAAGCAUAUCAGAGAUAAAGCUGAUGAGUGGCAGGAGGCGCAGAUCAGGUAGGGCCUUAUAUGCUGAGCGAGAUGGGGAAGGUUCUGAACAGACCAAUAACAAGACCUGACUUAUAUUUUAAAAGAACCACUCGGGCCACCUCACAGAAGGUGAAAUGCAGUGGGGCAGCGGAGAAGCAGGGAGACCUCUUAAGGAGCCAGUUGCAGUAAUUCAGACGAGAGAUGAUGGUAGGUCAGAACGGAGCGGUAACUGGACGUGGUGAGAUGUGUUCAGAUUCUGGACACAUUUUGAGGGAAGAGCCAAUGGGAUUUGAGAGUCUUCAGUCAUCUUGGAAACUCUCCUGUAAGGACUAUUCCAAUAUGGUCCUGAUCCCAAAAACCUUUCUUGGAAAGCCAUCUCUUGGCGUCUACAGGAUGACAGAACCCAUCCCCCCAUGGAAAGAAACCUUCCUAGCCUUUGCCAAGUGUCGGGGCACCAUGCAAGCUUUUCCUCUGUCCCCUGUGGAUUCUGGGCUGUGCUCUGAGACGUGGAGAGCAGCAGGACAUGAGCAUCGCCAGCCCCUCAGAUUUCUCUCAGGACUGAGGCAGGUGCCAGCAAGAGUGAUGUUGCUGCAUUAAAAACCACUUCAAAACUUAGUGACGUGAAACCACAGGACACUUUCGGAAUCUGUGGGUCAGUAUCUCAAACAGAGCAACGUGGGGAUGGCUUGUCUUUGUCUCAUCAAGUCCCGGGCCUCAGCUGGGAAAACUCAUCUGGGGCAACCAGCUGGAAUCCUCUGGAGGAGUCCCCACUCACAUUCAGAGUGUUGGUGCUGGUUGUCGGCUGGGACCUCAGCUGGCUGUUGGCCAGAACACCUACACGCGGCCUCUCCCUGCAGUGUGUCUGUGUGGCGUGCUUUGGGCAUCCACAUCACACUGGCGGGUGACAAUGGCAUGUCCGUACGUGUACGAAACCUAGACCACCAGCAGCCACCUUAUCAGGAAGGGAGAUACCGGAAAACAAGCUCAGCACACUGAAGACAGCAAAGCAGAAGGAAGAAAGGAACCAGAACCACUGAAUUAAUCUGGAGUGUUCUCCCUCAAACUUCCUGAUCAGUGAAACAAACAUUUUCUGUGUUGUUUAAACCAGUUUGAACUGGGACUUUCUGUUCUUGCAGCUAAGGGCGCCGUAACUGAUACGGGUCUCCUCAGGGGCCACUUCUCUGGUCGGCUGCAUACCCCUGGGAAGGGGGAAAGGGCUGGAGUCACCGCCAAGGACAACCGAAGUCCUGCUGCCACCCAACAGCUGCAGGCUCCCAGAGCAGCGGGGGCCCAGGGCCCUGCGGCCACUGAUGCCGUGAGCCUCCAAGCCAUAACGCUUGGCACCUUCAUCCCUAAGGCAAGAAUCGAUUCUUCGCAAUCAUCAAGAACUUACCCCAGGGGCAGGCUGGGGAAAGGAGAGCAGUUCUGAUGUGGGCUAGCUUGAUGGUGGCAAACAAAAAACAAAAGACCCUAAAGGGGAGAAAAUCCUUCCGAAGUGGCUUUCUCACUGACUCCACAGGGAUUGCUUGCCUUAAGCCGUGUGUGUGUGCGAUGAGCACGGACACUGGUCAUUGCCCCAGAUGCAUCCCUCAGACCUUCCAGUCUGAGGCACUCCAGCCAACCUCAAACUGCCAGUGUCUGUAUGCCUGUGCCUGAGGCUCUUUUCCAGAAUGUGGAGAGCUCCUGGCUCACCUGCAAGGAAGUGCCAGAAGUGCCAGGAAUUAACACCCCGAGGGAGCUGCCCUCCACCCAAGCUCCUGCUGGUGUAUAAAUGCCCCAGCUCUCUCCCACUCUGGGGAAGCAUUCUGAGGAGUGUAUCUGACACCGUUUUCCAGGGCUCCCCAUAGGACUGAGCUCUGUUUGGUGCUGUGAUAGCUGGUGCCAUCAUGCACCCCUUGUUGACGGCUUUCCCACCCUGUGUCACUUUCCUGCUGGUGCUCUCAGCCCCUCCCAGAUCAAUUACCUGUGCUCAAAUCUUUGUCUCAGCUUCUGCUUCUGAGGGAGCCCAAACUAAGGCAGUAACCAGAGGGGAGUGGUGGGAGAAUAUGGGAGAGGACGUGGACAGGGAAGUCCCUGAGGGAUGAAGUGACAGUUGAGCCACAUUCUUCUUUCUAUUGGGAAGCUCUGGAGGCAUGAACCAAGGCUUUUGAGAAUUGCCAAAUGGGACAUGAGACUCCUAAGUUUCUGAGGCCCGCUGGUUGAUCAUGAGAGCCCACUUGGUGAGGCCUCCUAUAUAUACAGACAUCAGGGGGACAUUAAUACAGUUCUGGUUGGGGUCCAAUCCCUGCCGCACCCUUGGGUGUCAGUCACACUGAUAAUCCGCUCACCCUCUUGGCACCACCCCCCUGCAGCUGAAGGGACCUCUCAGCAGUGAUUAGCAUCAAGAAUGGGUCCUCCUUUGUCCUUAUCCAUUCAAUGUGUUUAUUUUCAAGAUUGCAUUUGUGGAAAGCGUUUAAACAGCGCCAUUUAGAAGAAAACAAAAGUCACCAGAUGGAAAAAUAGAAUAAAAAAACAUGCACACACAGAAAAUUCCCGAAGCAAUAUAGGCAGGGCAGCGGGAGUUAUUGUCCUGCUGCUGUGGAUAAAGCAGCUGUGUUGGAAGAGCUAUCCGCUCUUGACAGCCUAGAAUUUUCAAGGGAGAACUGAACACAGGUCAGCAGAAUUCUGUGCUGCAAUUCACUUCCUGAGAAAGUUUGACAAACCUUCCUUCUUCUUCCCUCUAGGAAGGACAGAAGAACGGUUACUAGGAUUAACACGUAUACUGAAUUAUAAAGCACAGGCAGCUUUUGUCUAGGAAUAACGCCUUCCGGUUGCCGCAUAUCUUAUUUGGACAGAUGUUGUUCUCAAGAGUCUCAGAAACACCCUUAGCCACAGGCUGGCUGCAAAAUCAGAAGCAAGAAAGAUGGAAGCUGCUCCUGAGGCUGAGACAAACAUCACCUCUUGCCCCUUCAAGAAAUCAAGAGAACCAAACAGCCUUCCCCUGCCCCCCUCACCCCCUAACACAACAUGAUUUUGCCUACACUAGGGGUCGAAGAAUGUCAGCAAUACCCCAAGGGUGGCUGAAAGGCCAACUUUCAUUCACAAGAAAGGCCCUGGUCAUUGCUGCUUCUUUGCCUUUCAUUCUCCCAAUGGCCAACAGAGGGAGAGAAAGGAUGGUGGCGUGAAAAUGUGCUCAAGUCAGGACUGGUGUCCUGGGUCUUGUGAGGAAGAGUCGUAACGUUUAUUUUCCCUGGGCUGAUCUUAACUGGACUCCUGGCCCCCAUGCAGAGCCACGCCCGAUGUAAUGUGUCUGGGCAUUCCCCCAUCUGCCCAGAAGAGGGACUCUGGUCACAGACAGCAGCAACGGGACAUGGUGUAGCGUGGUGGUCCUGGCAGUGGGAGAGGAAUAUUGGCCCCAUAGUCAGCAGUCCCCACCCUGCCACUUAUCACCUGUGUGACACUCAGUAAUUUAUUUAACCUCUCUGACCCUCGAUUUCUCCAUCUGUAAAUAGCAGUUCCUAUCUCAGAUAGUUAACUGGAGGAUUAAAAGAAUAUAAAACGCUAGUGCCUAAUGCAUCAUAAGCUCUCUGUAAAUGGCAGCUCCUAUUAGUACUGAGGGAAUAAGGCUGUUUCUAACACUGCGAGCAAAUAUGGGCUAAUAACAUCUGUUUCCACAAUUGUCAUUUUUAGGGGCUGUUAACAUGAUUGUAACUGCAGGUCUUAGAGCAACAAUGACUAUUAGAGAAUCCAACUGGAACUUCACAUUAAGAAACCAAUCACAUUAAGGAAAGAAUGGCAUGUUGGGCAGCAGGUGGACAGUUGGAACAGCCGGAGAGCAUGUGGAAAGUUACCAGAAGGUCCAGCUGCCGUCAAGAAGGCUUCCCAGGGGCUUAUUGGGCCUGACAAGGAUGCAGGAGCCGGAGGAAAAGGCAGGCGCCCACAGACAGAACUCUGUGCCCGUCUGUGCAAGCAGGUUUCUUUAACAAAGUCAUGAGAAAGAGAUUUUACAGAGGCUGAGGCUGUCUGAGGAGAAAAGAGAUUGAACACCACAGACAAAGCCGUCUGUUUCCUAGGAGUGUCCUGGCCAGGCCAGGCCUCCCCGAGCUCAGGCGUGAUGGAGGGUGCAGUGCCCCCGGGCAACCUCCCAAACCUUCCUCCUCGUGUUUUGAAAGCAUUAAUCUGAGUCUUAUUCAAUAAUAGCAUUUUCCUGUCCGCCCUUUUUAGACGUACAGGAUGGUCAUGUAUGACAGAAAUGCCAACAGUGAGAAAAGUCCAGAAACAGGGUGGAUUCUUUGAGGAAAAGAGGAAACCACCGAUUUCACAAUGGCCUCCUCCCAGUGAAGCAGCCAUUCGGCGUGUUAUGCCGAGCAGACUGCACGUGGGCCACUGCGUGGGCUUCCACCAGGAUGGCCGCCGAGGUCCGGGUUCCAGACUCCAGAGGAGGGGCGGAGCGCGCCCUCCACACUCAGCAUGCAUGGAUUGUUCCACAAUCGUCACACUUGUGAGCUAACCCCCCAAAGCCAGCUUGCUUAUUAAAAUUAACUAGACGGUUUCUCUUCCGGGCAGCAUCUUUUCUAAAGAGAUAUAUUCAUCCACAACAUUGAUAGAGUGAUUUGCAAUUUUCG